rnacentral:piRNA from 1 species
UGGUGGUCUCGACACCACGCUCGUUGC